AUGAAAUGGAGACCAAGUUCAUAUUUUGGAGCCAAUGGCGUCACUGCCUUCAAAUCUUGGUAAAAAUAUAAGAUCCAUCAAGUAGCAAAAGGCAAGAAACCUAAUUAGUUACUAUUAACUUGUUUGUUUGUUAUGGUUAUUUUGUGUUAAUUUUUGUAGUGGGUUAGCUGAUUUUUUAUUAUUAAUGUUCAGAUGAUUGUAAUACCUCAAUGUAUUCCUAAAUCCUAACACCUAAAGGGGUUGUUGGUGUUUCUGGUUUUGUGCCUUUAAUUUAUUCUUCACCAGAAGCACCAAUUUGCAAUAAAGAUUCAAACUUUACAAGAAAUUGAACUUGUCUCUAUGUUGGUUACGACAAGUCACAGUCCUUCAGCUUCAGCUUCAUCUUCCUCAUGUUCUUAUGGUGGAAAUAUGGGAGAAAAAUCUGAUCUUGGAUUUGGGGAUUUGGAUAAUUUGUUGCCUGAACUUGCCGGCUCCGACCAGACCCUUUUCCGGUGUAUCUCCGGCGAUAUGGAGGACCCAUCAGUCAGCUUAAAACAAUUACUACAAGGAGGAAAUGAAAAUGCUGAUUUGGGUUGUGGAGUUUCUGUUCAAAGCUCUGGUUUUGAGGUCUCAGCUGCAGGUUCUUUAGCUCAUACAGAUAAUGUCUCUUUUUCUAAUUCAAAUCUCCUUCUAAGUGCUAACAUUGAGAAAAUUGGAUCUGUCAUAAACUCUGACAACAAGCAAAAUGUUAACUUUGAACACCUGAAUGUCAAUCUUUUGGCAAGAAAUUUACCUCCUUCUUUGAGCUUUCAAGAACAACAAUCAGAACAGAAUUCUGCUUAUGUUAACAUGUUAGGCUCAUUAUCAUAUGAUAUAAGUCAAGAACAGCCCCCGCCCAAACGCCACAAUUCGGGUACGCUUGGUUCAAGCUUAAGUGCUCUAUUGCCUGAAGUUCCAUUUUUUGACUCCAGUGGUGACUUAUUGCUGAGGAAACAACCAUUGGGACAAAUGCGGCAGCAAGUCAAUUUACUGCCUUUUCACCAGUUUCAGCAAAAGCCAUUAAUUGUACCUAAGCUUGAGGCAGCUGGUGGUGGUGGUAAUGGUAAUUUGAUGGUGCCUCGUCAUCAACAACAGGAACAACAGUUUAUUUAUGACCAGAUUUUUCAGGCCUCUGAAUUAUUACUGGCCGGACAAUUCUCAAACGCGCAAAUGAUAUUGGCGCGGCUCAAUCAACAGCUCUCUCCCCUUGGCAAACCCUUCAAGAGGUCUGCUUUUUACUUCAAAGAGGCUCUGCUAUUGCCUUUCCUUUUGCCUUGUACAUCCACAUCUUUUCCACCAAGAAUUCCCACCCCAUUUGAUUGUGUGCUUAAGAUGGAUGCUUAUAAGGCCUUUUCUGAAAUAUCUCCACUUAUUCAGUUCAUGAAUUUCACCUCCAAUCAACCUAUUCUUGAAGCUCUUGGGGAUGCCAAGGAAAUUCACAUAAUAGAUUUUGACAUUGGCUGUGGUGCUCAAUGGUCCUCAUUUAUGCAAGAACUCCGGAGCAGCAAUAGAAAGGCAACUUCUCUAAAGAUUACUGCCUUUGUAUCUCCUUCAACCCACCACUCCGUUGAGAUUGGCAUCAUGCACGAGAGUUUAACGCUGUUUGCUAAUGAUGUGGGAAUCAGAUUUGAGCUGGAAGUUAUUAAACUUGGUACUUCCUUUGUACCCCUAAGACUUAUCCCUNCAACUUUCACCAAAAGUUGUUGUAUCAUUGGAACGUGGAUGUGAACGUACUGAACUCCCCUUAAAGCAUCACCUCCUCCACGCCCUCCAAUAUUAUGAGAUACUCUUAGCCAGUAUUGAUGCUGCUAAUUUAACUCCCGAAAUUGGGAAAAAAAUUGAGAGGUCUCUUCUCCAGCCUAGCAUUGAGAACAUGGUCUUGGGGCGCCUCCGAUCCCCCGAUCGAAUGCCCCCGUGGAGAAAUCUAUUUGCUUCUGCAGGAUUUUCACCUAUUGAAUUUAGUAAUAUGGCUGAAAUUCAGGCUGAAUGUGUUGUUAAGAGAACUCAGGUAGGAGGAUUUCACGUUGAUAAGCGCCAGACGUCGCUUGUGCUAUGCUGGAAGCAGCAGGAGCUCUUGUCAAUUUUGGCUUGGAGGUGCUGAGGAGCUUUAUCUAAUGAAGCCAGAAGACUCUUUCCAUUUAACAGCAACAUUUCCUAGAGGUUUUGACUCUUCAAUUUGAUAGUCUGUUCAAAAUUUAAUCUACAUUGCUAUCACCUCCACUAUUGCCUGUAAAUUCUUUUUGGUACAUCUAAUUCUCCAUAUGUAGUCUUGACUGUAGGCAAGCAUUCCUACGUGUAAACAGAAUCUUAACCACUUUCCCUGUUUGAAAAUCUGCGUUGUAUCUUUCAGCAUUUCCCUGUGUAUUAAUUGCUUUCUUUUUUACCUUGUUUAAUAAUAAUAAUAAAAAAUCGUCCAUUUCUCCA